GCUCAGCUAGUUCAGUAGGUAGACUAUGAGACCCUUAAUCUCAGGGUCGUGGGUUCGAGCCCCACAUUGGGUG
rnacentral:tRNA from 1 species